UAAUAGCUCAGCCGGUAGAGCGGUGAUCCUGCUAAGCCGAAGGUUGCGGGUUCAAUUCUUGGU
rnacentral:tRNA from 1 species